rnacentral:rRNA from 1 species
UACGUAGGUGGCAAGCGUUGUCCGGAUUUACUGGGCGUAAAGAGCGCGCAGGCGGUCGACCAAGUCGCGUGUGAAAGCCCCCGGCUCAACUGGGGAGGGUCACGCGAUACUGAUCGACUCGAAGGCAGGAGAGGGUAGUGGAAUUCCCGGUGUAGUGGUGAAAUGCGUAGAUAUCGGGAGGAACACCAGUGGCGAAGGCGACUACCUGGCCUGUUCUUGACGCUGAGGCGCGAAAGCGUGGGGAGCGAACAGG